rnacentral:tRNA from 1 species
UAGCUCAGUUGGUAGAGCAUGAGACUCUUAAUCUCAGGGUUGUGGAUUCAUGUCCCAU